rnacentral:rRNA from 1 species
GAUGAACGCUAGCGGCAGGCCUAAUACAUGCAAGUCGAACGGUGUAGCAAUACACAGUGGCGCACGGGCGCGUAACACGUAUGCAACCUACAUUACAUUGGGGGAUAGCCUUUCGAAAGGGAGAUUAAUACCGCAUAAGACAGUAACUAGGCAUCUAGUAGCUGUUAAAGAUUUAUCGAUGUAAGCUGGGCAUGCGUCCAAAUAGUUAGUUGGCGAGGUAAUGGCUAACCAAGACGAUGAUUGGUAGGGGAACUGAGAGGUCAAUCCCCCACACUGGCACUGGGAUACGGGCCAGACUCCUACGGGAGGCAGCAGUAGGGAAGAAUGGGCAAUGGGCGCAAGCCUGACCCAGCCAUGCCGCGUGCAGGAAGAAGGCGUUAUGCAUUGUAAGCUGCUUUUAUACAGGAAGAAACGACCCUUGCGAGGGGCAUUGACGGUACUGUAUGAAUAAGCACCGGCUAACUCCGUGCCAGCCGCCGCCGUAAGAC